UGAGCCACUUUUACAGACACUUCAGGGUGGACCUUUCAGCUGGGGAACUGAACCAAGUGUCCUCUGCACUGGGAUCAGCCAAACUCAACGGCAAGAUAAAGAUUUCCAGUAGCAGAUAUCUGAUCAGCAUCUUCAGCCUGCUCACCGAAUGUGCCCUCCUGAAAAUGCCCAUCUAGCUGUGACACUGAGCAGCUAUCGAAAAAAAAAAAACAGACUAUAGUUUUUUAUAGUUUCAGCUUUAAUUUAAAU